CUCGCAUGCCGCGGCUCCUUGCCCAAUCGCAUCCACACCAGGCGAACCCUAGCCUCCUUUCCCCCGAUCCCCCAGCCGCCGCACGGCCUCGCUCCUCCUUCCCUCCCGCUGCACCCUCUCCUCGUUCGCAGCCGCCUCCUUUACACCUCUGCCCGAGCUCCGCCUUCCUCGCCGACCUCCCUCCUCCUGCCUCCUCCCUCCCACGCCUCUCCCUCCUCCUGCCUCCUCUCUCCCCUUUCCCGCGGUCCCCACAACCUCUCCCACUUCUUCCAUCCCUCCUCCCCGUGUCACCACUCACCAUGGCCUCCGCCCUGAAACCUCGCCGACGUCUGCUAUUCCUCCUCCCUCAUCUCUGUUCGGCGCCGAUGACCAGCUCACCCCACAGCUUCUUCCCCACCCACGACCUAGUGUUGGGGAGGCUGGGUUUUCUCGCUGGGGGUGGAGGAGAUGGGGACGGCCAAGAGGCCAGCAGUGGGGAGCAGCUAGGUCGGCCUGCCGUCUCUCCACGGAUCUGGUCAGCGGCCGAGUUGGCUGGCUGGGAUGAGGAGAUUGUCCUCCUUGUGGCGCUCGUCAUCGAGGACAGCCUGGUCCGCAAAUCGCGGCCCUCCUGCGUUGGGCUACACGACGUGGCUUACUGAAGAGCGCUGACCAACAGCAUAUAGAAACCCUAGCCAUCAUGCUCCUGCCUAGGACACACCAACCCUUCUCCUCUCGCAUUGCUCUAUUUAUUCCCCUGAUUCCCUAUUCGUUUUUUUGUUAUUUGACUAAGUUGCCUACUCUGAUGCUCCAGUGUGGUAUUUGCAGGUGUUGAUCUUGGGUUUACCACUUGUGGCUUUGGUUUGACAGGGUGCUAGCAGCUGCAGUUCUGUUCAUUUGGAGGACACAUACGACAAACUGUGACAUCACAGUAUUUUUUUCCUUUAGAUGCUUUAUCUUUGUUUUUUCUGUGUGUAUGCAUGCCAUGGUUUGCACAUCCUUUGCUCAUUGGCAUGUCUAUACACGGGCUUGUUGUUCUUCUAGAGAACUGAGUUGGUGAUGUUUAUUACUGUUAGCUGUUUAGAGUGAUUGUGCCCAAUUAAUUAUUACCAGGUAUUUAUCGAAUGAUCUUAUGCAAAUUCCCGGCUAAUUGAUUCCUUUUUUAGCCAAGGCCAUCUUUAUAUCACAUAUCUCUGCUGCUGGUGAAAGUGAUUCAACUGAAAGUGGCAUGUGAUUCUCCCCUGGAGCCCAACAGCCCUCUAUAUGGAUUAUCUGAAAGAAUUGAAGCUUCAUCAAAUCUAUCUGGGCGUUCAUUGCGUAAUACAAUGGAGGGGAACUUAAGAACUAGGAUGGUGCAGAUAAGUAAGAGUUGUUGGCAACAGCAACCUACACAUGUGGAAACAGUGGCUAUGGCGGUUCAAAGGGAAGUUGUGGCUGCUAAGCAACUCACAACUUAGUGGCGGCUCAAAGGACAUAUAAUCUAUUUCUUCUUGGAGCUAUCUACUAUCAUGUUAUGACUCGGUGCUAGCUGAAGCUUCUAUUUUCUCGCCUUUUGUGGUGGCGAUUAUUCCUUGGACUACAUUAAUUCCAUUUGUAAGUAUCAUGUACUGCAACCAUCUUUAUCUUUAGCCCCUGCACUUCAGUAUCAAAUUCGUGUGUAAGUGUAGGUUUUCUACUUGCUCCCUGAACAUUCCUUUGUUUUUCAUGUACAGUUUUUUAUCACUAGCUUCAACAUAGUUAAUUAGCAUGCGAGAGGCUCAACUGUAGCUUUUUGCAAUGCUAGAAGGCCAUAUUCAGUACUGAAAAUCUAAACUGUUCUUUCCACUCUGUAACAACUUCUAUGCUUGCGCCACCAUGAUAUCAUUACAACAUUUACCUAUAAAAUUUUAUUAGUUACACGUAAACUGAAUUGAUUUACCGGUAAAAAUCUGUACAACUCAUUUUAGUCGAUAGUAACAAUUGUAGAAUUACCAGGAUAUGUCAUGUAUGUGCUCUGAGUCGUAGCAUGUUGCAAAAAGUACAAUAAGAGAUAGAUUGUAUGCACUAUGGCUAGCAGUAACAUUUUUUGACUUGUACACCAUUCGAUCUAUCUAUUUCUAUAGGCUAUUCCUCAUGUUGCAACCUUUUCCCGUAGAAUCGAAAGGAAUUAGAUGGAAGAAAUUGCCGGAGGUAUACUUCGUGUUCCAUUAGUCUUACUUUCGGAGGCAUGUCUAUAGUCUUAGUGUUGGAGGUGUGUCAAUAGUAGUAUCAAUUUUGGAGGCUUGUCUAUAUUAAUCUUAUUUUUUGGAUUACAUUUCUUUCAUCUGCAUCCUCUUCAUAAUGGAUUAGGUUACCUUCUUAUUGCCAUGUGAUACUUUUUCUUAUUACUGUGAUCGUCAGUGCUCUUAACAUUGGUUGUUCUUGCUUCAUGGCUGCCUUCUCAGCGCACUGUUAUUAGUUCUAAUACAUUAAUUAUAAUAUGCUCGAUUGACCAUAUUAAUUAUAUAUAUUUCACUUCACUGGGGCUAUUGGUGGAAGUGUUGGUUAAAAUAUUUUGGUGGCAGUGUAUAAAACUAAUUGUUGUACACCAUUGUUAAGUGCGCUUUUGAGCUUUGAGUAGACAAUUGUGGUCUUAAUUACUUUAAAGGAUCGUUAGUAUAUUACUAUCAGAUUUCCAUGUCCAGUUAUUCACACUAUAUUAUUGCUUGGUUCUGAUAGCUUGCUAUUAUUAGAGCAGGAAUGGUAUUCUCGGCUGACAUUCAAAAGCAGUCAAGAUGGUGAAGUUUAGAACGGAGGAGCUCUGCGGAAUUAUGGAUAAAAAAUAUCCAUAACAUGUCUGUCAUUGCUCAUGUCGACCACGGUAUGUGACGGAGCAGUGACAGUUGUCUCUAAUUGUCAAGUUUAUACGGUAGAAUUUUCUUGAUUGAUGAUUUUGUAGCCUUCUCUUAGUUUUACUGUAUUAAUUCUUAAAACUGGAUCAUUUAAAAUUAGUUAGAUUUAAUGAAUUGUUUCACUGUUUUCAAAUAAGUAGUUUAAGCCCUUAUUGUGUCCCGGAGCUUAUUCUUUCUGCCUUUUUAUGAUUGAUAUAUGCUCUAACAAGCUUAAAUAUAACUAUUGGCAUAUAAUCUCAUGGCUCAAAAUCUUAGUUGUUGAAUGUAUUAAAAUUUAUAAGAUCUGGAGUCUACACUAUAUUUCAUCCUGCGGUAUUCCCAGUAAUUGAAUAUUAAGAGCACCGACGAACCCAGGUUGUACAUUCGGGAAAUGCUUUUAUCUUGCAGGCCAGUUUUACAUUUACUUAUUCAAUAAGGAGAUGACCAUGAAUAGAGUAUCAUGGUAUUUGCCUUGGCAUUACUGACGAUGUGUUCAGAUUACUGAAAGAAGGAUUGGUAACCGCAAAGGAGUGAAGAAAAUAUGUCCAUUGUCGUUGAAUUGGUGGGAUUGUCCCCAAGUUAGUGCUGCAGAUGUUUCUAUUUUAGAGCAAGAAGCCAAAUCAUGCUGUUGAUUGUAAAUCUUGAAAAACUUGUUUAUUGUCACUUCUUUAUCUGUUGUAAACAUUUGUUCAUGAUGUGGUACUUGUCAAUCUUGGUUUGCCCUUCCUUUUCAAGUUUGCCUUAAAUUUCAGCAGACCAACAA